rnacentral:lncRNA from 1 species
UCCUCCGUGACGGGCGGAGGUGGGCGGGGCCCCGGCGGGGGCCGCCUGUCAGAGUCCGGUGAGGAAUUCUGUCGGGAAAAGCAACAUUUGAAGAGGAAUUCUGUGUCGGGAAAAGCAACAUUUGAAGAGGAAUUCUGUGUCGGGAAAAACAAAAUCUGAAGAGGAAUUCUGUGUCGGGAAAAGCAACAUCUGAAACAUUUCACUCUGGAGAGGAGCUUGAAGAUCCUCGUUCUGCAGCUCUUUAGGCAGGUUGAUUAGUUUGUAUCUGAUGAAGUCAAACAAAGUUCUGCUGCUGUCGUGAGUGAAGACGUCCCGUCUGCCCCCCCCCGCAGCAGGAGCGGGAACAGCUCCUCUGAUGCUGCAGAGCCGUGGGAGUUCAGGGCCUCCCUCUCGUGCAGAAAAUGCGGAACUGCAGUCUAUUUUUCUGGGCCCUCUGGUUGGCAGAUGCCACUGAGACCUGAGGAGAGGGGGGGGGCAUUUCUGAGCAGACCAGCAUCACCGGGGAGUGCAAGUGUGAAGACAAUCCUGUCAAAGUGA